rnacentral:rRNA from 1 species
AGCUCCAAUAGUGUAUAUUAAAGUUGUUGCGGUUAAAAAGCUCGUAGUUGGACUUUGGGGUCGAGCGUUACAGACCCUCUCGGUUCUGCCGGGGGGAAUCAGUCUGGAUGUUUCUUCCUCUUUCUCGGAACGUCAACAGGGGUUCACGGUUCGCCGUGUUCUCUUGGUUUCGCAGGAUUUACUUUGAAUAAAUUAGGGUGUUCAAAGCAGGCGCAACUCGCCUUGAAUACAUUAGCAUGGGAUAAUAGAAUAUGACCUUUGGUCUACUUAUUGGUUUCUAAGGCCAAGGUAAUGAUUAAUAGGGAUAGUUGAGGUCGCUCGUAUUCAAUGGUCAGAGGUGAAAUUCUAAGACCCAUUGAGGACGAACAAAUGCGAAGGCAUUCGACAAGGAUGUUUUCA